UUUGGCGUCCACGCUCUAGGGAGAGAGGGCACAUCUAAUUGGGGAAAGCUCUGGCUGGCAGAGUUUGGGGGGGUGGACGGGCGAAGGGGUAGCCAAGUCUCUCGAGGAGGCCAGCAACGCGCGUGCGGGUCCAAUGCGGGUUCCCGACGCGAGACGCCCGGAAACCUGCUCCCCAGUGAGAACAAAGGCAGGCGCCCAGCGAGAACCUGAUUGGUGCCGGGUCCCCACCGGUGUCCUCCUGGCCCCGGAGACAACUUGCUUCACCCACUGGCGCGGAGCUCCGUGCUCACUGGAGCCCGAGCUCCCCACCCGCCCCUGGCUGUGACCACACAGGACUGUGCGUUAUGACAUCACCUGUUUUCGCUCUUCAGAACAUGAUCUGUAUUCUCAGCUUCUCCUUUUUUAAAGGUCUCUAGUGGGCCGGGAUUUGUGAAGGCCUGCGUUCCGCAGAAUGAAUCUGGAGAUGAUGUAAAAGAACUGUUUCACUGCCUGGAUAGCAUAAAGAGAAUAUGACUUAAGAGAGUGACUUGUGAAUCCUGGAUCACACUCUUAAGAGGGAAGAAAACAAAAAGCAGUUCUUUUGAUUUCACACAGGAUAAGGAGAAACUUCCUCCCUUUUGUUGUCUGACUCAAGUCUGGCCACAUGGCACAAUGGACGGCCCGUACAUUUGGAGAGACUCCAAGAAAUCCAUCCCAAGCACUGAAUGGUCCUGGCACUGUUCCAAAAUUUUACUAACUUUCCACAUAUUGUGAUUCCAGACACGUUUAUACCUUGGUCCCCAGGAUAAUGGAAGCCACAAAAGAGACAAAUUAAAAUGUCAGCCCAGCUGGGCCCACAUUGUGGGCCAGCAAUUACCAUGGAACCCCUUGCCUCUUAGAUCACCUGAGUGUAGCACAUCUGGGCUUCCUGUAAGAGGGAUAACGAAAUAAUCCAAAGUGAUUUCCUAGAUGUUCCCCAACUCAGUUUAAGUACGGUGUGCUUCUUAAUAACUGCUCAGAUUUCGAUAAGCAAUAGGAAAAAAUUUUAAAUAUCAGGCAAAAGUCAGAGAACAAAAUCCUGGGAAACUUUGUAACCCAACAACCCCUGCCAUCAUCCGGGACCUAACUAACUUGAAACACACGAUCGAGGCUGGAGAGGCAAGUAAAAUAGAGCAUCGGUGUUCUCCACCUGAGGGAAGAGUAUCAUUCAAACCUCACUGCAGAUUCUGACGGAAGGUAUGAAGGAAGGAAGCCAUGUCACUACAGAUGGAGCAAAGAAUGUCCACAGCAAAGGGCACAUCUGACAGGUCCUACCCCUUGUGGGAUCAUGAGACCCAGCCACAGAUAGGAGCUGCUCAUUUCAUCAAAGUAAUCUGCUGUUUUCUGUGCUCUGGAGGUGGUGACUUCAGUGUCCAUGAUGGGACGUCCGUGAGUGUUUGUUGGGUUUGAAACUGAGUGCUCCAAGCCAGCGGAUAGCAUUUCUUCUUCUGGUGGGCCAGGGAAACACUGAGAUUACUUCAGCAAGAAAUAACUUUCCUUCCAAUCUGUAUCAUCAAGAGGCAGCUGGUCAGGUUAGCAGAGAAAAUGGAUAGUCACGAAGAAGCUUGAUUAAACUUUGGCUUUAUCUUUUUGUAUCUUGAUACGAUCAUAUGGAGAUAGGUUAUUUCCUCACGCUACUUGCCACCUGCUCUGUGAUUUUUUUUGUCCUUCUUUGCCUGCUCUAUGAGAUUGUAAGCUUCAUGAGGACAGUUUUUCUCAUCAUUAUAUCCUCAAUACAAUAAAUUUUUUUUGAAGAAAUGAAUAAAGAAGG